AGAAUUGCUUGCUCUGGAAAAUCCUGGAUGUGUCUCAUAACUGUGUCAGAGGAACAAAGGACAACGCCAUCGACCUGGAGCACAUCACUAAACAGGAGCUGAAUUACUGCUUUCUGUUAGACACCGAAUGAUUGUCACUGGGACUACAUCCAGCUACCUGUGAGGGAUCUCCAGGAAGCCUGACACAAGAACUUUUGCAUUAGUGAAAAUGAAGUGCUCUGUUGAAGGCAUUACUUUCAGGAGACUGAAGGGAAAGGAGGGAUUCAAUGUCAUUUCACUUCCUGAAGCACAGUCUGGAGAGCGCACCUGAAGAACUGCAAGUGUUAGAUGCUCCCACAGAGCAAAGGCAUACGCCACUGGAAAAGCCCUCCUCGUGCUGACAAGCAGAUAAAAAUUUUCUAGAUGCCUCAGUUCUGGCCUGUGGAAUAAGACAACAGGGAAGGAUACAAGAAAGAAUGAAGCAGCAGCACAGGUAUUUAUGACAGAGCAGAGGGAGGGACAGUUCCUUAAUAGCCCUUAGAGGAGGCUCUCAGACAUUGCCUUUAAGGGCAGCAGUGGUGUGGGGGCAGGCUCUGAGCUGAGUGGCUGCUUGCUCUGUAGUCUAAGUGAAUUGUGCAAGGACAAAAAUGCCCCGUGGAUUCCCUUAGCAAGUGGGUCUCACUUGUUCUCAUUGGCAAUAUCUUGGAGCUUUUACGGCUCAUUUUUAGGCUCUCAAGUUUGUUAGAUAGGCCAGAUUUCAAAAGUGAAUCCUUUUAGCUAUUAUUAGGGUGGUACUGGCAAGGAGACCACUUGUCUACUUUGUCUGGGGGGCUGCCACCAGGGUUGGCCUCAUGAGGAAAGCUGUGCCCUUCUCCAGAGAUGCUGCUCCCAACUAACAUAACUGAGGUCAAAACCCAUCCUUACCCCCAGAAAGAACUCAGCCAUUGAAUUGAAGCAGUACUCUGGUACCUAAGUCCCCCCAAAGGAGUUAGAGUAGCAGCUGCUGCUUCACCUCCUUCCCUUGUGGACAGGCAUGGACGUAAAUUCAGUUUCUUACUUGUGCAAGCACAGUGGAGAGGAGCUGCUGUAUGCUCAGGUUCCUGUGGCAAAGUGGGACUGGGGGCAAGUCCAGGCAUUCUAGAUAGCUUUCUGCUAAUACUUCCAUAGUGUAGAGUAUCCUAAGAUGAAAAUAAAACAUGUUCUUU
rnacentral:lncRNA from 7 species